rnacentral:rRNA from 1 species
UACGAAGGGGGCUAGCGUUGUUCGGAAUUACUGGGCGUAAAGCGCACGUAGGCGGGUCUUUAAGUCAGGGGUGAAAUCCUGGAGCUCAACUCCAGAACUGCCUUUGAUACUGAGGAUCUUGAGUUCGGGAGAGGUGAGUGGAACUGCGAGUGUAGAGGUGAAAUUCGUAGAUAUUCGCAAGAACACCAGUGGCGAAGGCGGCUCACUGGCCCGAUACUGACGCUGAGGCACGAAAGCGUGGGGAGCAAACAGGG